AAAGCCUCUGAGGACCCCAUGGCUGACCAUAUGUGAAAUCAAAUGGGCAAGCCAUCAGCAUCAGCUGUGAACAUAUUGUACCAACUGGGAAUGAAAAUAAAACAUUCAACGACCAACUGUUAUAAUCGGUAAAUAGGCAAGCUAAUUCCUAUGGGUUUCAAAGGCAGACAUGAAUGGGGCUGCACACCAGGACCCUACUGUACUCUUCACAGCUACAGUAUAUAUGGAAGUAGUAUCCAGUGUGGUGCAGUGAGUCAAGUAAUGGACUAGGACCCAGGAGACAUGGGUUCAAUUCCCUGGUUCUGCCAUUGAAGCUCACAGGGUGAGAGGGAGCGAAACAGGUAAAACCACUCCUUAAAUACCUCACAUACCUUGAAAACCCUAUUAGGGUUGCUAUAACCCUUACUUGCAACACUUAACAACAAACAAGCAAAUAUGAAAGUGGAGAUAGAAACAAAGAUAUAGCAAAAGCAAUUAUGGAGCAAAAAGAUACAGCUAAAUUGUGGGAAUGGAAACAAGUGAAAAGAAGAGGAGGGAGAUUAUGGAGAUUAAUGAUAACACCCAACUGAACAGGUAGUAAGAUCAGAAUCUGAUGCUUUAGUACAGACUGCCUUCUCCAGCCUGACUACUUUGAAGAUAUGAUGGACCCGACCAUCUCCGGCUAUGAUUAUUCUAAUAUUGUAGUUCCCUUGGGGAAAAGUUCCAAGUUGGGGAAAGUAAUUUCAAAGUGACAAGAAGAGCCCUUCUGAAGGAGCCAAUAACAGAUUGGGGGUCAAUUAUGAUGAUCCACAUGCCGUUCUCUGUAAAUCCCAGGGUUUAUUUCAAAAUUAAUGAUUUAAUGAACACAUUAAGAAUGUUGAUUCAGUUAAUUUAAUUAUUCCAUUUUAAAUGUGAGUAUCAAAUUAAUUAAUUCUCCCCAUAUCUAAAGUUAUUAGAUUAAUUUUCAAACCUAAUGUUCCAAACUUUGCUGUUUCUUCAUUUUGCUAGUAACCAAGGCAAAAGGCAUCCAUAGCUCCAGUAGUUUCCGUUCAUUCAUUUGGCCCCUAGCCAUGACUCUUGCCUCUGACAAGUAGAACCAAUGGAAUACUACUAGAAAAUGAGAGCAAGUAAUUAU
rnacentral:lncRNA from 1 species